AUACGUAGGGAGCGAGCGUUGUCCGGAAUUACUGGGUGUAAAGGGUGCGUAGGCGGGACUGCAAGUCAGAUGUGAAAUGCCGGGGCUCAACCCCGGAGCUGCAUUUGAAACUGGGGUUCUUGAGUGAGGUAGAGGUAAGCGGAAUUCCUAGUGUAGCGGUGAAAUGCGUAGAUAUUAGGAGGAGCAUCGGUGGCGAAGGCGGCUUACUGGGCCUUUACUGACGCUGAGGUACGAAAGCGUGGGGAGCAAACAGGAUUAGAUACCCUGGUAGUCCACGCUGUAAACGAUGAUGACUAGGUGUGGGGGGACUGAACCCUUCCGUGCCGCAGUUAACACAAUAAGUCAUCCACCUGGGGAGUACGGCCGCAAGGUUGAAACUCAAAUGAAUUGACGGGG
rnacentral:rRNA from 1 species